UACGUAGGGGGCGAGCGUUGUCCGGAUUCAUUGGGCGUAAAGCGCGCGCAGGCGGCUUCGUAAGUCGGCCGUGAAAUCUCCGGGCUUAACUCGGAGGGGUCGGGCGAGACUGCGAGGCUCGAGGCGGGUAGAGGGCAGUGGAAUUCCGGAUGUAGUGGUGGAAUGCGUAGAGAUCCGGAGGAACACCAAUGGCGAAGGCAGCUCUCUGGGACGGUACUGACGCUGAGACGCGAAAGCGUGGGGAGCGAACAGG
rnacentral:rRNA from 1 species